AUGAACGCUGGCGGCGUGCCUAAUACCUGCAAGUCGAGCGAACAGACGAGGAGCUUGCUCCUCUGACGUUAGCGGCGGACGGGUGAGUAACACGUGGAUAACCUACCUAUAAGACUGGGAUAACUUCGGGAAACCGGAGCUAAUCCCGGAUAAUAUAUUGAACCGCAUGGUUCAAUAGUGAAAGACGGUUUUGCUGUCACUUAUAGAUGGAUCCGCGCCGCAUUAGCUAGUUGGUAAGGUAACGGCUUACCAAGGCAACGAUGCGUAGCCGACCUGAGAGGGUGAUCGGCCACACUGGAACUGAGACACGGUCCAGACUCCUACGGGAGGCAGCAGUAGGGAAUCUUCCGCAAUGGGCGAAAGCCUGACGGAGCAACGCCGCGUGAGUGAUGAAGGUCUUCGGAUCGUAAAACUCUGUUAUUAGGGAAGAACAAAUGUGUAAGUAACUAUGCACGUCUUGACGGUACCUAAUCAGAAAGCCACGGCUAACUACGUG
rnacentral:rRNA from 1 species